rnacentral:rRNA from 1 species
UACGUAGGGGGCAAGCGUUGUCCGGAUUUAUUGGGCGUAAAGAGCGUGUAGGCGGCCAGGGAGGUCCGUUGUGAAAACUCGAGGCUCAACCUCGAGACGCCGAUGGAAACCCCCUGGCCUAGAGUCCGGAAGAGGAGAGUGGAAUUCCUGGUGUAGCGGUGAAAUGCGCAGAUAUCAGGAAGAACACCCGUGGCUAAGGCGGCUCUCUAGUACGGUACUGACGCUGAGACGCGAAAGCGUGGGGAGCGAACAGG